rnacentral:rRNA from 1 species
UACGUAGGGGGCAAGCGUUGUCCGGAAUUAUUGGGCGUAAAGCGCGUGUAGGCGGUCCGGUAAGUCGGCUGUGAAAGUCCAGGGCUCAACCCUGGGAUGCCGGUCGAUACUGCCGGACUAGAGUUCGGAAGAGGCGAGUGGAAUUCCCGGUGUAGCGGUGAAAUGCGCAGAUAUCGGGAGGAACACCAAUGGCGAAGGCGAGUCCCUGGACAACUCCUGACACUGAGGCACGAAAGCUAGGGGAGCAAACGGG